rnacentral:lncRNA from 1 species
ACGGUUGCGAGAGCUUGAUGCUUGAUGUCUAAAUAAAACUGCACCAGAAGUUGAACAAUUAUGAGAAAGGGUUGCCCAGCUGCGUAAAAUUACCGUCACUUCCGACGAACACUGGCAAACAAAAUAAGCAUGAAUAAUGAUUUCUUGUCCUUUUUCUCUUUUGUUCUGUUAGAAAAUGAUAUCUAUAAACUGGAACGUAGAAUUGGAAAAAAGGGAAGACAACAAUUGGGUGGCUAACAACUGACCUCCUUAAUUUAAGCAACAUUUCUCCUGAAGUUCAUG